AACGAACGCUGGCGGCGUGGCUAAGACAUGCAAGUCGAACGGACGAUUGAAUUGGGUAACCGAGACAAUCGUUAGUGGCGAAAGGGUGAGGAAUGGAUAGGUAACGUACCUUUGGCUUCGGAAUAGCGUCCCGAAAGGGGCGGUAAUACCGGAUGAUAUCACAGAGUGCAGGCUUUGUGAUCAAAGAUUUAUCGGCCAAAGAGCGGCCUAUUCCCUAUCAGCUUGUUGGUGAGGUAAUGGCUCACCAAGGCGACGACGGGUAGCGGGACUGAGAGGUUGGCCCGCCACAUCGGGACUGAGACACUGCCCGGACCUCCACGGAGGGCUGCAGUAACGAAUAUUGGGCAAUGGGCGAAAGCCUGACCCAGCGACGCCGCGUGCAGGAGGAAGUCCUUCGGGAUGUAAACUGCUGUCAGGGACUAGAAAGCUACGGUUGAUCAGUCCCAGAGGAAGUCACGGCUAACUUCGUG
rnacentral:rRNA from 1 species